UGUGUGGGGUGGGUGAGUGGAUGCUAUGGACUGAAUUUUAGGGGAAAGUUUACUAGAAUGAAAAGCGCCCGCGAUCACUACAACUCUGCUCCCACCACCCCUCCAUCUUGGCCCUGGGGAGGGGGACCAUAAAGCAGAUCAGAGAGGGGAAGGGGCUGGCCUCAGGGUGCACAGCCAGAAAGCGGCCAGGCCACGCUGCCCGGCAGGGACCCUGAGCACCCAGAGCUAGAGUCACCAGGUUUAGCAAAUAAGCAUGUAGGACACCAGUUAAAUCUGAAUUUCAGACAAACGAUGAAUUAGUAUAAGUAUGUCCCGUGUAAUGCUGGGUACAUGCUUGUACUAAAUGCUUUGCUUAUCUGAAAUUGAGAGUUACCUGGGCACUUCGUAUCUUAUUUGGGACAGGGAGGGGUGGGAGAUAGUGGGGUUUCGACUUGGGGUCUCUCAGGCCAGAAAGUCUGUGUUUCAGUCCUGACUACCACUCACUAGUCCCACAACCCCAUUGGGUUACUCACGGCUCAGCCUGGGUUUCCUCCUCGGCCUUGACAUUACCGCCCGCAUAAGGUUGGUGUGAGGAUUCCCUGAGAUGACCUUCUAAAGCCUUCAGCUGGGGGCUGGGCACAGAAAGAACUCAACACGUGCUCCCUCUCUCUUGAGCGAGGUUAACACAGGGCCAGCUGGGUUCUCACACCUGCCAUGGCUUUGAAGCUCUCGCGAGAUCACGCCUCACGUAGCCUCUGGAAAACUCCGUGGAAUGCCUGCCUGCGAGAAGCCGGCUUGACUUGGGUUUCUGUCCUUGUGGACUGAAAUGUUGAACCUGGCCGAGACGUCCUUUUGCCGGUACAGUGCGAUGCUUCACGUAAACCCCAAAGCCAGUCCCUAGUUGGUGGGUUUGAAGUCACAGCUGGAAGCAGAGCUGAGAGCCUCGACCAUCUCCAGCUUCGGUCCAUCUGAGCCCCGCCUCCCCUGUUGGCCCACCUGCGGCUCUGCAGGGAGAGCUCAGUUCUGGACUGUCUGUACCCCAGCUGGUGAGCAGUGACCCAGGCAGUCAGACUCAGUCUCAGCACAGCAGUACGGUGUGACGAGAGCAGCCUGAAGCAGGGCAGCAGGCACCAGAGCGAGGCAGCCCAAGAACCUGCUUCAAAUCCCACCUCCGGCCACCACACGCUGGUGGUGACAGAAAUGGCCGCAGGACACAGGGCACGCUGCCUGCCUGUCCAGCCCCCUGACCACAGCUGGCCGCCUCUGACCACAGAGGGGAAAACACUGGACCCCACCUGAUAAAGAGAGACCCGAGAACGCAACUUCCGUUUUUUAUCUUUGGAUGCUGUGGUGUGAAAGUAUGAUUGCGGGAGCUUAGGCAGCCACCUUGUGACCCAAAGGCGACAGAACCAGAGGCCAAACAAGGUGACAAGGGCAGACGGAAGGAUGGAAACAGCUUGGGCCUCGCAGAGUCUGCAGAGCCUCUGAAAGAAACUGUAUCCAGACUUUCAUUUUGCAGGAAAAAGCCAACUCCUAUCAUCGAAGCCACACCUAAUAAGGUAUGCUGGUACUUGGCACCUUGCACCUUCAGAGAUCUGCUCCUUGUCGUCAAGCAGGAGCAGUCUUUCCUCAGAGGAAAAGGUGGAGAUUAAGGAGAGAAGGGCAGGGCUUCCCUGGUGGCCUGUUGGCUAAGACGCUGAGCUCCCAAUGCAGGGGGCCCUGGGUUCGAUCCCUUGUUGGGGAAGUAGAGCCCACAGGCGGCAACCAAGUGUUCACACGCCACAGCUAAAGAUCCCUCAUGCCACAGAGAAGAUCAGAGAUCUCGAGU